CUGGCUCAGGAUGAACGCUAGCUACAGGCUUAACACAUGCAAGUCGAGGGGCAGCGGGAAGGAAGCUUGCUUCUUGCCGGCGACCGGCGCACGGGUGAGUAACGCGUAUCCAACCUGCCCGCGGCUCAGGGAUAGCCUCGUGAAAACGAGAUUAAUACCUGAUGGUCUUGGAGACUGACAUCGGUUUCCAAGUAAAGAUUUAUCGGCAGCGGAUGGGGAUGCGUUCCAUUAGGUUGUUGGCGGGGUAACGGCCCACCAAGCCGACGAUGGAUAGGGGUUCUGAGAGGAAGGUCCCCCACAUUGGAACUGAGACACGGUCCAAACUCCUACGGGAGGCAGCAGUGAGGAAUAUUGGUCAAUGGGCGAGAGCCUGAACCAGCCAAGUAGCGUGAGGGAAUGACUGCCCUAUGGGUUGUAAACCUCUUUUAUACGGGAAUAAAAUGCGCCACGUGUGGUGUUUUGCAUGUACCGUAAGAAUAAGCAUCGGCUAAUUCCGUGCCAGCAGCAGC
rnacentral:rRNA from 1 species